rnacentral:rRNA from 1 species
AGCAGCCGCGGUAAUUCCAGCUCCAAUAGCGUAUAUUAAAGUUGUUGCAGUUAAAAAGCUCGUAGUUGAAUUUCGGGGUUCUACCGUUGGUCGGGCUUUGUCUGUACUGGCGUAUGGAAUUUCUACCUUCUGGGGAACCAUCAUGUUAUUAAUUUAGCGUGGUGGGAAACCAGGACCUUUACCUUGAAAAAAUUAGAGUGUUCAAAGCAGGCUUAUGUCUGAAUACAUUAGCAUGGAAUAAUAAAAUAGGACGGUGGUCCUGUUUUGUUGGUUUCUGAAUCACCGUAAUGAUUAAUAGGGAUAGUUGGGGGCAUUAGUAUUCAAUUGUCAGAGGUGAAAUUCUUGGAUUUAUUGAAGACUAACUUCUGCGAAAGCAUUUGCCAAGGAUGUUUUCAUUAAUCAAGAACGAAAGUUAGGGGAUCGAAGACGAUCAGAUACCGUCGUAGUCUUAACCAUAAACUAUGCCGACUAGGGAUCGGACGAUGUUAAUUUUUCUUGACUCGUUCGGCGCCUUACGGGA